rnacentral:rRNA from 1 species
GACGAACGCUGGCGGCGUGCUUAACACAUGCAAGUCGAGCGGUAAGGCCUUUCGGGGUUCACGAGUGGCGAACGGGUGAGUAACCCGUGGGUGAUCUGCCCUGCACUUCGGGCUAAGCCUGGGAAACUGGGUCUAAUACCGGAUAUGACCUCCUAUCGCAUGGUGGGUGGUGGCAAGAUUUUUCGGUGCAGGAUGGGCCCGCGGCGUAUCAGGUUGUUGGUGGGGUAAUUGUGUGCCAAGGAGACGCCGGGUAGCCGACCUGAGAGGGGGACCGGCCACAGUGGGACUGAGACACGGCCCAGACUCCUACGGAAGGCAGCAGUGGGGAAGAUUGCACAAUGGGCGAAAGCCGGAUGCAGCGACGCCGCGUGAGGGAUGACGGCCUUCGGGUUGUAAACCUCUUUCAGCAGGGACGAAGCGCAAGUGACGGUACCUGCAGAAGAAGCACCGGCUAACUACGUG